rnacentral:rRNA from 1 species
AUUGAACGCUGGCGGCAGGCCUAACACAUGCAAGUCGAGCGGAGCGGCGGUCGGGUGAGUAAUGCCUAGGAAUCUGCCUGGUAGUGGGGGAUAAGGUCAGGAAACGGGCGCUAAUACUGCAUACUAUCAGAUGAGCCUAGGUCGGGUUAGCUUGUUGGUGGGGUAAAGGCCUACCAAGGCGACGAUCCGUAGCUGGUCUGAGAGGAUGAUCAGUCAAACUGGAACUGAGACACGGUCCAGACUCCUACGGGAGGCAGCAGUGGGGAAUAUUGGACAAUGGGCGAAAGCCUGAUACAGCCAUGCCGCGUGUGUGAAGAAGGUCUUCGGGUUGUAAAGCACUUUAAGUUGGGAGGCGUUACCAGCAGAAUAAGCACCGGCUAACUUCGUGCCAGCAGCCGCGGUAAUAC